GGGGGUGUCCCGGAUUCGACUGGGAUGUUCAGGGUUCCGGCUGCAGGUGAGGCCGUCCGUCCUCUGAUCGGACAAAACCUAUAACUGCCGAAGAAAACGACAGUUACGCUCUCGCCGCGUAAGCGGGGGAACGCGGGACUCUGCUGAUGCUGCUCCGAAGCAGCAGAUGUUCCCGACGCCAACCGGAGCUUGCUUUGUACCGGGUCCGGACGGGAUGAAGGACAUUUACCGGAAUACGGAGGCGACGCUUGCGGCGCUGCUACCGUCUCCCGACAACCACCUCGCGCCGAUAAACCUGUAGAGGUCGCUGCGCUGCUUUUCAGGACAGGGGUUCAACUCCCCUCACCUCCA
rnacentral:tmRNA from 1 species